GUGGGUAUAGCUCAGUGGUAGAGUGCAUGCUUAGCAUGCGUGGGUUUUGGGGUUCAAUCCCCAGUACUGCCA
rnacentral:tRNA from 1 species